rnacentral:rRNA from 1 species
GACGAACGCUGGCGGCGUGCUUAACACAUGCAAGUCGAACGGCAAGGCCCUGCUUUUGUGGGGUGCUCGAGUGGCGAACGGGUGAGUAACACGUGAGUAACCUGCCCUUGACUUUGGGAUAACUUCAGGAAACUGGGGCUAAUACCGGAUAGGAGCUCCUGCUGCAUGGUGGGGGUUGGAAAGUUUCGGCGGUUGGGGAUGGACUCGCGGCUUAUCAGCUUGUUGGUGGGGUAGUGGCUUACCAAGGCUUUGACGGGUAGCCGGCCUGAGAGGGUGACCGGCCACAUUGGGACUGAGAUACGGCCCAGACGCCUACGGGAGGCAGCAGUGGGGAAUAUUGCACAAUGGGCGGAAGCCUGAUGAAGCAACGCCGCGUGCGGGAUGACGGCCUUCGGGUUGUAAACCGCUUUCGCCUGUGACGAAGCGUGAGUGACGGUAAUGGGUAAAGAAGCACCGGCUAACUACGUG